UCCGAGUUGUCCCCGGCAGUCUCUUAUGAGUCCCCGGCAUAACCCGCUGGUAACAUAAGACAAGGGUUGCGCUCGUUGCGGGACUUAACCCAACAUCUCACGACACGAGCUGACGACAGCCAUGCACCACCUGUCAUGGGCCCUUUCGGACACCGUAUCUCUACGGCUUUUCCCAUGAUGUCAAACCCAGGUAAGGUUCUUCGGGUCGCAUCGAAUUAAGCCGCAUGCUCCGCCGCUUGUGCGGGGACCCGUCAAUUCCUUUGAGUUUUAGCCUUGCGGCCGUACUCCCCAGGCGGGGCACUUAAUGCGUUAGCUUCGGCACGGCAACCGUUGAUCGGGUCGCCACACCUAGUGCCCAACGUUUACAGCGUGGACUAC
rnacentral:misc_RNA from 1 species